UGGGCCGGGGUUGCAGCAGAGCAUGGGCACGGCUGCAAGGCUGCUGAGUGCACGGCUGCUGCUCACUGCGCACGGGCAUGGCCUCGGGUCCGGGGUCUCACCUGCGUGCCCCGCGGGCUCAUCCGGCGCAGCGCAGCACGGCGAGACCCGGAGGUGCCACGGAGGUCCGCUGUGCCGGCGGUGCUGCCGCACGCGGCGGGGCGAGGGCAGCUGUUUUCGAGACA
rnacentral:lncRNA from 1 species